rnacentral:rRNA from 1 species
GGCAGCUAACACAUGCAGUCGAGCGGUAGCACAGAGAGCUUGCUCUCGGGUGACGAGCGGCGGACGGGUGAGUAAUGUCUGGGAAACUGCCUGAUGGAGGGGGAUAACUACUGGAAACGGUAGCUAAUACCGCAUAACGUCGCAAGACCAAAGUGGGGGACCUUCGGGCCUCAUGCCAUCAGAUGUGCCCAGAUGGGAUUAGCUAGUAGGUGGGGUAACGGCUCACCUAGGCGACGAUCCCUAGCUGGUCUGAGAGGAUGACCAGCCACACUGGAACUGAGACACGGUCCAGACUCCUACGGGAGGCAGCAGUGGGGAAUAUUGCACAAUGGGCGCAAGCCUGAUGCAGCCAUGCCGCGUGUGUGAAGAAGGCCUUCGGGUUGUAAAGCACUUUCAGCGGGGAGGAAGGCGUUAAGGUUAAUAACCUUGUCGAUUGACGUUACCCGCAGAAGAAGCACCGGCUAACUCCGUGCCAGCAGCCGCGGUAAUACGGAGGGUGCAAGCGUUAAUCGGAAUUACUGGGCGUAAAGCGCACGCAGGCGGUCUGUCAAGUCGGAUGUGAAAUCCCCGGGCUCAACCUGGGAACUGCAUUCGAAACUGGCAGGCUAGAGUCUUGUAGAGGGGGGUAGAAUUCCAGGUGUAGCGGUGAAAUGCGUAGAGAUCUGGAGGAAUACCGGUGGCGAAGGCGGCCCCCUGGACAAAGACUGACGCUCAGGUGCGAAAGCGUGGGGAGCAAACAGGAUUAGAUACCCUGGUAGUCCACGCCGUAAACGAUGUCGAUUUGGAGGUUGUGCCCUUGAGGCGUGGCUUCCGGAGCUAACGCGUUAAAUCGACCGCCUGGGGAGUACGGCCGCAAGGUUAAAACUCAAAUGAAUUGACGGGGGCCCGCACAAGCGGUGGAGCAUGUGGUUUAAUUCGAUGCAACGCGAAGAACCUUACCUGGUCUUGACAUCCACAGAACUUUCCAGAGAUGGAUUGGUGCCUUCGGGAACUGUGAGACAGGUGCUGCAUGGCUGUCGUCAGCUCGUGUUGUGAAAUGUUGGGUUAAGUCCCGCAACGAGCGCAACCCUUAUCCUUUGUUGCCAGCGGUCCGGCCGGGAACUCAAAGGAGACUGCCAGUGAUAAACUGGAGGAAGGUGGGGAUGACGUCAAGUCAUCAUGGCCCUUACGACCAGGGCUACACACGUGCUACAAUGGCAUAUACAAAGAGAAGCGACCUCGCGAGAGCAAGCGGACCUCAUAAAGUAUGUCGUAGUCCGGAUUGGAGUCUGCAACUCGACUCCAUGAAGUCGGAAUCGCUAGUAAUCGUAGAUCAGAAUGCUACGGUGAAUACGUUCCCGGGCCUUGUACACACCGCCCGUCACACCAUGGGAGUGGGUUGCAAAAGAAGUAGGUAGCUUAACCUCGGAGACGCUAACCACUUGAU